rnacentral:rRNA from 1 species
GACGAACGCUGGCGGCGUGCCUAAUACAUGCAAGUCGAACGCUUUUUCUUUCACCGGAGCUUGCUCCACCGAAAGAAAAAGAGUGGCGAACGGGUGAGUAACACGUGGGUAACCUGCCCAUCAGAAGGGGAUAACACUUGGAAACAGGUGCUAAUACCGUAUAACACUAUUUUCCGCAUGGAAGAAAGUUGAAAGGCGCUUUUGCGUCACUGAUGGAUGGACCCGCGGUGCAUUAGCUAGUUGGUGAGGUAACGGCUCACCAAGGCAACGAUGCAUAGCCGACCUGAGAGGGUGAUCGGCCACACUGGGACUGAGACACGGCCCAGACUCCUACGGGAGGCAGCAGUAGGGAAUCUUCGGCAAUGGACGAAAGUCUGACCGAGCAACGCCGCGUGAGUGAAGAAGGUUUUCGGAUCGUAUAACUCUGUUGUUAGAAAAGAACAAGGAUGAGAGUAAAAUGUUCAUCCCUUGACGGUAUCUAACCAGAAAGCCACGGCUAACUACGUGCCAGCAGCCGCCGUAA